rnacentral:rRNA from 1 species
CCUACGGGUGGCAGCAGUGGGGAAUAUUGGACAAUGGGGGCAACCCUGAUCCAGCCAUGCCGCGUGUGUGAAGAAGGCCCUCGGGUUGUAAAGCACUUUCAGUGAGGAAGAACGCCUGGUGGUUAAUACCCAUCAGGAAAGACAUCACUCACAGAAGAAGCACCGGCUAACUCCGUGCCAGCAGCCGCGGUAAUACGGAGGGUGCGAGCGUUAAUCGGAAUUACUGGGCGUAAAGCGCGCGUAGGUGGCUUGAUAAGCCGGUUGUGAAAGCCCCGGGCGCAACCUGGGAACGGCAUCCGGAACUGUCAAGCUAGAGUGCAGGAGAGGAAGGUAGAAUUCCCGGUGUAGCGGUGAAAUGCGUAGAGAUCGGGAGGAAUACCAGUGGCGAAGGCGGCCUUCUGGACUGACACUGACACUGAGGUGCGAAAGCGUGGGUAGCAAACAGGAUUAGAUACCCUUGUAGUC